UAUUGCACAAUGGGCGGAAGCCUGAUGCAGCGACGCCGCGUGAGUGAAGAAGUAUCUCGGUAUGCAAAGCUCUAUCAGCAGGGAAUAGAAAAGAAGGUACCUGAAAAAGAAGCCACGGCUAACUACGUGCCAGCAGCCGCGGUAAUACGUAGGGGGCAAGCGUUAUCCGGAUUUACAGGGUGUAAAGGGAGCGUAGACGGAAAGGCAAGUCAGAAGUGAAAGCCCAAGGCUCAACCAUGGGACUGCUUUUGAAACUGUCAAACUAGAGUACGGGAGAGGUAAGAGGAAUUCCUAGUGUAGCGGUGAAAUGCGUAGAUAUUAGGAGGAACACCAGUGGCGAAGGCGUCUUACUGGACCGAAACUGACGUUGAGGCUCGAAAGCGUGGGGAGCAAACAG
rnacentral:rRNA from 1 species